AAUUUACUUCAGUCUCUUUAAUUUACCUUGUAACAGAAUUCAUCUUUCUAUCAAAACAAUUAAGUUUUCCGUUGCAUAUUAUGGGUCCUAUCUAUCAGUAUGCUUAAACUUAAUUGAGGUCACAACAUUAUGAUUUGGUUUGAUUCAUGAAGCCGACUCUAUUUAGUAGAAAAAAGGUUUUAUUUUCUAUAUAGGUAUGUAUGAAUUAUUACAAAUUUAUAGCAUUGAGAUGGACAAAUAUGUCGAAAUAGUGAAAUACCUUUAGGCCAUUGAUGCUAUAAUCUCUUUUGAGUUGUGUUAUUUUGCAUAUCUGUGCAUACCAUUUUUCCAACUUGAACUGUUGCGUGUCAUUUUUGCUUCAAGAGUAUGUUCUCAGAAACUUUUGCACAAUCAUUUGGGCUGACAUGGUUUUUUCCUGUACACAUGCUCAUUGUUUGAUUGUGCUUAAAUGCUAUGAAAACUCAAAACGUCUAAACUAUUCACGGUGUUAUAGAACUCUGAUGAACAUGUAUGAUAUUGCUGCAGAGUGCCUUGAGAACAAGAACAGAGGUCAUAUCAGAAUCUAGAGUUUUCUUAAAUUUCUGAGGAAGUAAUUUAAUUUAUUGGUCCUAACAAUAUGCAGUGUGUUUUGAAAUUGGAGGGUGAUUUGGCAUAGAAUGGCAUGGCUCGGCAAAUGCAAUCUUUUUUGAGUAACAUUUUCUCAAAUUUAGUCAAUUGUGAUGGAAAUGGAGUUGGGCUGAAUGAUCAAGAGGGUAUGGACAGACCCAAAAUAUGGAGAGUGUAUCAAAGGAAGCGGGUAAAGAUGCAGUGAAUUGAAGGGUGAGCUGGCAGCAAGCUUGGGAUCAAAGUUAGUUAUAUAAGGGAAUAGUGUUGCUGAUGGAGAAAAUGGAAUAUAUAUCAUAAUCUAUUUUUAGGGAUAUCAAUAGUAAAGAGGGCCUUGGACUUGGAACAAUUAUUCUUUAAACUUGCAGCAUUUACAACAACAUCAUGUGAAGUCUAAGAAGUAUUGCUGAAAGACAUAAAAUCAUUAAUCAAAGGGCAACAAACCAUUGUCAAAAUCUAAAUACAGCGGCUAGGCACUAUUAAACGAUUUCUUUAAAUGAUAUUUAUGUAAAGAGAAAACAGGAGAUCCAAUGAUAUUUUACACAGGCAAUCAAUAAAUAACGUGUAUUCCAUCAAAUCAUACUAGUUAGGGGUGGACAAAAGUUUCCGAACCGUGAGUAUCCGACCGGUCCGAGCGUAAUUAAAAUUUUCGGUUCGGUUCAUAUCGGGUCUACGGGUUAUACGGGUGACUGGCUCGGUUUUUAGUGGUUUAUUCCGGUUCGGUUCGGUUGAUAAUAUUAGGCCCAUCGGUGACCGGACCCGACCGAGUCCAAUUUAUAUUUUAUUAUUAUAAUUAUUAUUUAUUAACACUAGCUAGGGUUUGAGGAGACCAACACCAAUUUCUCUCCCUCAUUUUUCUUCUUCCGUGUAGCCGCUCGCCGCCCCCUUCUUCUUUCCUCUGUUACAGCUCGAAUCUGUGAAAAAACAUAACUACCACCACAAUAUUCUCUAGUUCAAUCAUAAACACAUUCAUCUUCCGCUCAAUCUCUCUUCGUCUCUCAAAAAAAUCAAACCCUAACACCCAAAUUUUAGAAAAAGACCACAAUAUUAAAGGUUGUAUUUGUGAACUGAAAGGAGGUUGCAAGCGGAUGUUUUGAGAGUUUCUAUAAUCUUCUAUCUGAUUAUCAAAGUGAUCUUCUUCAGGUUGCAGAUCGUUGCUUCUAUCUUCUUUAUACUUGUUGUUCUUUCAUAUUGAUGUUCUUGCAUUCCUUCUGGUGUUGCGGGAGGUAUCACUUUUUCUAGUUUAUAGAUUAAGUUUCAUUCACUGAUCCCAAAUCCAUCCACAGAAGAGGAGAAACUUUUUGAAAGGAAAAAGAGGUUAAAGAAGAGGUAUGGAGUUAUUGUUUCAAUAGGCCUUGUUUUUGUUCCUGUCUAACAUUGAAUAGGAAAUUAUCAUGCACCUACUACUUAUUCAUUCAAAGACUGGUGUUAGAUUCUAAUAUAUUUUAGUUAAUUCCUAAUUUGUAUUGGAUUUAGUUUUGUAUUUAUUUUAUUAAAUUUGAUUUAUG